GACGAACGCUGGCGGCGUGCUUAACACAUGCAAGUCGAACGGAAAGGCCCCUUUGGGGGUACUCGAGUGGCGAACGGGUGAGUAACACGUGAGUAACCUGCCCUUGACUUCGGGAUAACUUCAGGAAACUGGGGCUAAUACCGGAUAGGAAUCCUUGCUGCAUGGUGGGGGUUGGAAAGCUUCGGCGGUUUUGGAUGGACUCGCGGCUUAUCAGCUUGUUGGUGGGGUAGUGGCUUACCAAGGCUUUGACGGGUAGCCGGCCUGAGAGGGCGGCCGGCCACAUUGGGACUGAGAUACGGCCCAGACUCCGACGGGAGGCAGCAGUGGGGAAUAUUGCACAAUGGGCGGAAGCCUGAUGCAGCAACGCCGCGUGCGGGAUGACGGCCUUCGGGUUGUAAACCGCUUUCAGCAGGGGCGAAGCUUGUGGUGACGGUACCUGCAGAAGAAGCACCGGCUAACUACGUG
rnacentral:rRNA from 1 species